rnacentral:rRNA from 1 species
GUACCUGGUGGCGAGCGCGCUNCCNUNUUUNAUGCCUAUGAAUCUGCCUGGUAGUGGGGGAUAACGCUCGGAAACGGACGCUAAUACCGCAUACUUCCUACGGGAGAAAGCAGGGGACCUUCGNNCCUUGCGCUAUCAGAUGAGCCUAGGUCGGAUUAGCUAGUUGGUGAGGUAAUGGCUCACCAANGCGACGAUCCGUAACUGGUCUGAGAGGAUGAUCAGUCACACUGGAACUGAGACACNGUCCANACUCCUACGGGAGGCANCAGUGGGGAAUAUUGGACAAUGGGCGAAAGCCUGAUCCANCCAUGCCGCGUGUGUGAAGAAUGUCUUCGGAUUGUAAANCACUUUAAGUUGGGAGGAAGGGCAGUUACCUAAUACGUGAUUGUUUUGACGUUACCGACAGAAUAAGCACCGGCUAACUCUGUGCCAGCAGCCGCGGUAAUACAGAGGGUGCAAGCGUUAAUCGGAAUUACUGGGCGUAAAGCGCGCGUAGGUGGUUUGUUAAGUUGAAUGUGAAAUCCCCGGGCUCAACCUGGGAACUGCAUCCAAAACUGGCAAGCUAGAGUAUGGUAGAGGGUGGUGGAAUUUCCUGUGUAGCGGUGAAANGCGUAGAUAUAGGAAGGAACACCAGUGGCGAAGGNNACCACCUGGACUGAUACUGACACUGAGGUGCGAAAGCGUGGGGAGCAAACANGAUUANAUNCCCUGGUAGUCCNCGCCGUAAACGAUGUCAACUAGCCGUUGGGAGCCUUGANCUCUUAGUGGCGCAGCUANCGCAUUAANUUGACCCCCUGGGGAGUACGGCCCCAAGGUUAAAACUCAAAUGAAUUGACGGGGGCCCCCCCAAGCGGUGGAGCNUGUGGUUUAAUUCCAANCC